GUGCUGACCUAGUUGGGGAGAUGCCAUGAUUAAAACAGUAGUUUUCUAAGGCAGAGCUUACCAAUUGGAGUCCAGAUGACUACAUAAUUCGUCAUAGUGGGGGAUGGCAUUUGUGCCUUCUCCUA
rnacentral:snRNA from 14 species